rnacentral:rRNA from 1 species
AUGGCGGACGCGGGCGUGACGGGGGUGGCGGCGAAGCUGGGCGAGCUCGCGGCGGCGGAGGCGACGGCGCUGCUGCGGGUGGACGCGGAGAUCCGGUCCCUGCGCCGGAAGCUGGCCUACCUGCAGGCCCUCGUCCGCGGGGCCGACCGCGCCCGCCGCGGCCGCGCCAACGAGCUGCUGCUGCUGUGGCUGCGGGAGACGCGGGAGGUCGCCUUCGAGGUCGAGGACGCCGUCGACGAGUUCCACCUCCGCGUCGAGGCCUUCCACCUCAGCGCCAAGGGCCGCCGCGGCUGGUGGCACGGCGCAGCCUUCAACCUAGUCCAGGGCCUCGCCACUCAGGUUGUCGUACGUCAUGGUCUGUCGAAUCAGAUAGUCAAGAUCAACGAAAGGAUCGAUGAGCUGAAUCAGAACAAGGAAACAUAUGCUAUUGAGAGUUUUCCAUCCGAAACGUGGAAUUCAUCAUCGAUUGAGACUGAUCCCGAGUGGUACGAGGAUGGGUAUGUUGAAGACUCCAGACAAAGUGAAUUUACAACCCUCAAAGACCAAAUUGACAAAGAGAAGAUUGUUUGUCACCGUGCUGUCACCUCAAUUCUGGGCGAGUGUGGCAUUGGAAAGAAAACACUUGCAAGAAAGCUGUACAACGACCCUGAUAUCAUGAGAAACUUUGAGGUGCAUGCAUGGGUGUGUCUUCCACCACACAUCAGGUUCACAGACUAUGUGGAGACUAUGUACAAGCAGGUCAGCUCAGAGGUCCCAGAAGCACCUGAAAAAGUUGGCAAGGCAUCAUUGGCAACUGGUGAUGGAGAAACCAUUAGUAAAGAGCGCAAACUUCGAGAACUAAUGCAGAACAGGCGGUACCUAGUUGUUCUUGAUGGUUUGGUCGAAAUCAGUGACUGGAAUUCUUUGUUGGAUGUCCUGCCAGAUGAAAACAAUUGCAGCCGAAUCUUGCUUACGACACGCUUAAGUGUGAAGGAAAUCAAUCAUAUGGACCCGCGUAUUGCUCCCCUUGAAUUGGGUUGCCUUGAAACCAUACACGGUCAACAGUUGUUUUGUCGACGAGUUUUUGGAGCAAAGAAACCUCCAGAAAUUUACAAGUGCAAAGCUUACUAUGACAAAGUUCACAAUAUAUCAACAGGUCUUCCGCUAGCCAUCAUUGUUCUUGCUGGAGUAUUACGAUCAAAGGUGAUUCCCGCGGAGUGGGAUGAAGUGCUUGAGCAACUCGAGACCAAUGGCCAGCCAAAACCACUUGGAAGGAUAUGGUCUUUAGCUUUUGAUGAUUUGCCACACCAUCUAAAGUCAUGCUUUCUCUACUUUGCGUCCAUGUCAGAAAAUAUUAUUGUUUACCCAGAUCGUUUGGUGCGUCUGUGGAUUGCCGAGGGUUUUGUGGUGCCAAAGAAGGGAAAAACUUUGGAGGAGGUCGGGUUUGACUAUCUGAAGGACCUUGUCUCAAGAGGACUAGUCCAGGUCAUGGACAAGGAUGCUGGAGGGCGAAUCAAGCUAGUAGCCAUCCACAAUCUGCUUCACGCGUUCCUGGAAUCUGAAGCACGGGACUCUGGUUUCCUUGAAAUCCACCACCAAGCUAACGUCCUAAAUCCAAAUGCAGUGCGGCGCCUUGCUGUACACAAUUAUGUGGAUUCAUUUGUCAACAUACCGAAUGAAUUUCCUAAGCUGCGUUCUCUUCUCUGCGAUUUCGCAGAAGACCAACGCAGCAGCACAAUAUAUGAAUCGCCUCAACCUCAUACACCAUGGGGCAGCUUUGCAGAGAUGUGCUUGAGAGCAUGUGGAAGUUCCGACAGAGCUGGCCUAAAGACCAUUCAUGGGCUGCACUUCUUACAGGGCUCUAGGUUCCUGCGUGUCAUCGAUCUGAAUGGUUUGAAGAUCCAAAAGCUGCCAAAUGAGAUUGGAAGCAUAAUACACCUGAGGUACCUUGGUAUUAGAAACAGCAACUUGGAGGAGCUCCCUUCGUCCAUUUCUAAGCUUGACAACCUUCAGAAAUUGGAUGUAAGGAGAACAAAUGUGAGAAGAGUUGUCGACGAAUUUUGGGAAAUUGAAGCACUGAGGCAUGUGCUUGCUGAGAAAAUUUUGUUGCCUGAUUGCAGAGUCUCCUUGAAUAACUUGAUGACCCUUGAUGGUGCGGAGCCUUCACAUCCAUGGCAUGAUCAAAUAUGUCCAUUGAACUACAUGUUAUGUCUCCGGUCUCUGUCCUUGUCUGGCAUUUCCGAAACACAUACUAAAGCACUCUCGGCAGCUCUCAGGAAAAUGGAGUUCCUUGUGAACCUCAACUUAUAUGGUGAAGUCCUUCCAUCUACAAUGUUCACCGACUCAAGCAUGCGCCGCCUCCAGGUGCUGGUUCUACAUGGCAGGCUGGAAGACCUUGAUGCUUCACAGAGCGACCGAUAUGUCAUGCCAAACCGGCCGUUCGUCCGUGAUUCGGGCGGAUCGGAUCACGCGUUUGAUGUCCUUGCUGGGUGCUGA